UACGAAGGGGGCUAGCGUUGCUCGGAAUCACUGGGCGUAAAGCGCACGUAGGCGGCUUCUUAAGUCAGGGGUGAAAUCCUGGAGCUCAACUCCAGAACUGCCUUUGAUACUGAGGAGCUUGAGUCCGGGAGAGGUGAGUGGAACUGCGAGUGUAGAGGUGAAAUUCGUAGAUAUUCGCAAGAACACCAGUGGCGAAGGCGGCUCACUGGCCCGGUACUGACGCUCAUGCACGAAAGCGUGGGGAGCAAACAGG
rnacentral:rRNA from 1 species